CCGGUUCUCAUUGCGUAAAGUUCUGAUGAUUGAGGCCACGGUUGAUCUUCUGAGGUUUGGUUGAAUCAUUGUAGCUGCCUCAGUCAUUGUCAUGAUUUACGACAUGGUCUACAACUAUUGCUCGGAUUUCAUUGGACACUCUCUGCUGUUGCUGCCGCUGUCUUGGUCCGUGGCCUUAUCCUCUACCACGUUCCCCCACACCUCUCAAACGAGGCCCACGACCAUCUCUCAGAAGGGGUGUUUGUCCUCUACCACAUUCCCCCACACAUCUCAAACGAGGCCCACGACCAUCUCUCAGAGGGGGUGUUUGUCCUCUACCACAUUCCCCCACACAUCUCAAACAAGGCCCACGACCACCUCUCAGAAGGGGUGCUUGUCCUCUACCACGUUCCCCCACACAUCUCAAACAAGGCCCACGACCACCUCUCAGAAGGGGUGCUUGUCCUCUACCACGUUCCCCCACACAUCUCAAACGAGGCCCACGACCACCUCUCAGAAGGGGUGCUUGUCCUUUGACAUUCCUUUGACCACCACGUCUUCCUCCUCCCACUGCUUGACCUCUAUUGUGACCUGGAUCACCUGCCAGCUCCAUGUUAUCUCUAUGUUGUUGUAGGUGGAUACCACUGAUUUCACUAUACAGCUCCAUGUUAUCUCUAUGUUGUUGUAGGUGGAUACCACUCAUUUCACUAUACAGCUCCAUGUUAUCUCUAUGUUGUUGUAGGUGGAUACCACUCAGUCCACUAUACAGCUCCAU
ensembl:lncRNA